UACGUAGGGUCCAAGCGUUGUCCGGAUUUAUUGGGCGUAAAGAGCUCGUAGGCGGCUCGGUAAGUCGGAUGUGAAAACUCCAGGCUCAACCUGGAGACGCCAUUCGAUACUGCUGUGGCUUGAGUCUGGUAGGGGAGCACGGAAUUCCUGGUGUAGCGGUGAAAUGCGUAGAUAUCGGAAGGAACACCAGUGGCGAAGGCGGCGCGCUGGACCUCUUCUGACGCUGAGGCGCGAAAGCCAGGGGAGCGAACGGG
rnacentral:rRNA from 1 species